rnacentral:rRNA from 1 species
UGGGUUUGACAUCCUCUGAUCGCCUAAGAGAUUAGGUUUUCCCUUCGGGGACAGAGUGAC